GUCGUCGUCGACGUACGUCUACGAGAGGUUCGAGUUACUGGCUCAGGACGAACGCUGGCGGCACGCUUAACACAUGCAAGUCGAACGGAGUUAAUCCUUCGGGGAUUAACUUAGUGGCGGACGGGUGAGUAACACGUGAGCAACCUGCCUUCAAGCGAGGAAUAAUGAGUGGAAACGCUCUGUAAUACCUCAUAAUGUAUUUUUUACCGCAUGAUAGGAAUACCAAGGAUUUAUCACUUGAGGAUGGGCUCGCGUCCGAUUAGCUAGUUGGUGAGGUAACGGCUCACCAAGGCGACGAUCGGUAGCCGUACUGAGAGGUAGAUCGGCCACAUUGGGACUGAGACACGGCCCAGACUCCUACGGGAGGCAGCAGUGGGGAAUAUUGCACAAUGGAGGAAACUCUGAUGCCAGCGAUGCCGCGUGAGCGAAGAAGGCCUUUUGGUUGUAAAGCUCUGUUAUCAGGGACGAAAAUGACGGUACCUGAGGAGGAAGCUCCGGCUAACUACGUGCCAGCCGCAGC
rnacentral:rRNA from 1 species